UUGCUAUGAUGAGUAUAUUCAACGUUUCGAAAGCUUGUGAAGGCUUGAUGAAAGCAUCGACUAUCUUGUCGAUUCUGAGCGGUUACCUGAGCAA